GCAAGUCGAACGAGAACGGGUUAUAGCUUGCUAUAACUGUCAGCUAAGUGGCGCACGGGUGAGUAAUAUAUAGUUAAUCUGCCCUAGAGAAAGGGAUAACGUUUGGAAACGAACGCUAACACCUUAUAUGCCUUUAUCACAUAAGUGAGCAAGGGAAACAUUUAUGGCUCUAGGAUCGGCCUGUACGGUAUCAGUUUGUUGGUGAGGUAAUGGCUCACCAAGACUAUGACGCCUAACUGGUUUGAGAGGAUGAUC
rnacentral:rRNA from 1 species